rnacentral:lncRNA from 1 species
GGGGGCGCCAUCCCGCCGCCGCCGCCGUGGUGCGGGCGCGUCUCGUUGCCGUAGCCCCCGUACUGCGGCCUCUCGUCGCCGGACUCGUGGGAGACGUGCACCACGUUGCCGUGGGCGGGCGCGCCGUAGCCUUCGUCGCGGCCGCCUCCGUACGCCGGAGCGGGGGCGUGGCGCCCGUAGUCACCCCCGCCGUACCCGGCCGGCGCGGGCGCGUGGCGCCCGUAGUCGUCCUCGCGCCCCCCACCGUAGGCCGGGGCGCGGCCGCCGUAGUCGUCCUCGCGCCCCCCACCGUAGGCCGGGGCGCGGCCGCCGUAGUCGUCCUCGCGCCCCCCACCGUAGGCCGGGGCGCGGCCGCCGUAGUCGUCCUCGCGGCCGCCACCGUAGGCGGGGGGCGGGGCGCCGUAGGCGACGUCGUCGGGGCGGCGGCCGUAGGACGGGGGAGGGGCGCCGUAGGGGUCGGGCUCUUGGCGGCCGUAGGGGGCGGGGGGGCGGCGGUCGUCGUCGUCGUCGUCGCGGCGGCCGUGGCCGUGGCCGUGGCGGUGAGGGAACUCCAUGAUUGAUUGGCCUGUCGGUGGUGGUGGUCGGGACUCGGGAAAUGGGAACGCGGGGGGGUGGUGGAGGUGGAUCCGAUCCGAGCCUAAAUAUGUCGCGUCGCCGGAGUACAUGUCGACGGGCGGGUGAGGUGAGCGCGCGACGUGGCGCCAAUGGGACGCGCUCGCACGACCGACCGACCGACCGGCCGGGCCGAUUCAAUUUCGCAACUGGGCGAUGGCGAUCGGUGGAUCGCCACGUGCACAGCUUUGCACUACACACGUCGCGGAUGGUGGAAAAAUCGUGGUCGUAUCUCAUCCGUUGUUUCUUUUCCUUCGGAUGCCGCGGGAGAUCGGAUCGUAUCAAGCCAAACCAGUCAAGUACCAGCUCAACAAAAAUCAACCGAGCACUCAAUUAUUGCUUGAAUUUCAAGAAGAAAAAAAGGGAAAAGGAGAAUUCGAUGUGGUGUGUACGCUGUGGCCCAAUGGUGCAGCUGCGAGUUCUGAUUUCUUGUUUGAUUGGGGUUGCAUGCGCGGAGGCAGCGGGCGCCAGACGGCGAAUCCUAUUUGACGCUGCAAGCGUCGGUUAAAGUGUAUUUUUCUUAACUGACGCCUGCAGUUUUCGGUCAUGGCCGACCCUUCGGGAGGCGGUUUUUCCGUCUUUGUGAAGGUUCCGCAAGCUUUCUAGAUGGAUUUUCUUAUUUAUGUUUUUUAGGACUGGUUCUUCUUUGGUUUAUCUUUUUUUCUUUAUUAUUUUUAUUACUUUUUCAUUUUCGUUUUAAUAUUUAUAUAAUUUUUACUUUUUGAAAAACGCAGCCAUUUCUUGAUUAACUUUUUCUCAAACGAACAAAUAUUUUUUCAGAUCAAUGAACCUUUUUCAGAAUUAUAUGUUCUUUUAUUAAAAUUCUAUGAACAUUUGUGAAUAUCGAUGAACUUUUUUCAAAUUAUGAUGAACGUUUUUCUGAUUGAUGAACUUUUUGAAAUGGAUGAACCUUUUUAAGAAUUGUGAAAAAAAAUUCAGUUCAACAAUUUUUUUAAAAAAAAAUCAAAUUCAUGAACUAAUUUUCAAAAUCCGUUAACUUUUUAAAAAUGUGAGAAGUUUUUUUUCAGAUCACAAUGAAUUUUUUCAAAUUCGUUAACUUUUUGUUUCAAAAUUGGUGAACCAUUUUUCGCUUUUAUGAACCUUUUAUGUUCUUUUUUUUUUGGUUUUUAUUAUAAAAAACCCACCUUGAGCCUGGGCCGGCCCGUUAUGCACGGUGUGUGGGCGCUAGUUCUCCUAGCUGGCGCUUAAGGCGCCGCCUCGCCGCUAUGAGCUCCCGGGCCAUACCCCCCCCCCCCACCCAAGGAACUAGUAGUAAUAUAUUGGCUUAAUUAUACGAUGGACUUAAUCCACUUGUUGACUCGUACCUGCUAAUCGAUCCACACGAUCAACGAUACGCACACACUAAUCCAAUUUGAUGUUAUCGACUCUUUCCUCGGCGACGCACCAGUCGCUAGGGUUUCAUUGACGCCGCCGUGCUGGUCGCCGGUUGUCGCGUCGGGCCGCCACCGCCGACCCGCUGUGCUCCGCCCGUCAUCGACCGUGCUGCCGCCGACCAUGCAUCAAUCGAGUACAGAGAGUCCACACAGGCUAAGAAGUUGAACGGCGCUGCCGCAAGCCCACACACAAUCCCUAACCGAUGCUGUGCAGCUGUGUUGUGAUCAGAAGACGAGGUCUUGAUGUAAUGUAAGGUGUACAAUUGUCUAGUGUCUACAGACCAGGUUUCAUAUUAUUGUGGUUGUCACUUGUUGGUUUGAUUCAUUCAAUAGAUCAAUUAAUCAAUUGUUAGUACUUAGUAGUUAGUAAUAAUUUAUUUUGAUACUUGUGAGAUCAAUUACAUAUUUUCUUUUUACUUAAUGGAAGAACUGAAAACUGCAUAGGUCAUGAAUAAGAGGAAGACAUCACCGAUAAGUAAUGGUUUCAACCAAUUGCUACAAACUCUAACUCUGCGAUUGAAAAUGCAAAUGCAAGUGUCAAGGUAGAUGUCACACAGCAACCCACUGGUCAUAAUGUCCCCAAUCUCAGUUCAGUUGAUAUGCCACCCCCCGAGCAAAAUAUUCAGGUAUCUGUGGAAGUUCUAGAACAGCAAAGAAUUGGAAGCACACCAUUUGAGCGAGACCCUGGAAAGCGCAAAUAAAUUUGGGAACUCCCUCUUGAGAAGCAAAAUGAAGCACCUUGAUCGUAAAUCUCUCGAAAACUCGUCACUAUAGCUUAUCUGUGGUGGCACCAAUACUGUUAGAGAUUGGAGAGCUAGUUUCCUCUUUUUCUUCCUUUUACAUUUAACAUGUAAAUCCGUCAUCCAACGUACCGGGCCAUCUUUGUGCAAAGUUUGCUUGCACACUGACGGUCAUCGAAAGUUGGAUGGAUUUGAGACCCUCUUUCCUGCUCAUCAGCUUAUUGAUUGAUGAUGCCAGGAGGCAGGAGCUCUUUUGUUGAAUAAAGCUCUCUGACUGGAACACAAAAAAAGACACAACCAUUCAAAAAUGAUUGUGACAUUUACAAAAGUAUUCACGCUCUUCAAACAUAUGUUCACAACAUUUUCAGGAAAUGUCUAUACAACAGUAAAGAAAGUUAUGUAACUUCAAAUAAAUUGUACUACCAUUAAAAAAACUUUGUGUCAUCAUAAAAAAGGUUCACACGUUUCAAAAACAUGUUCGUAUUGUUUUUCUACAUAUGUUCGUACCAUUCAAAAAAUGUUUGUGACAUUGAGAAAAAUGUGCAUGUGUUUCGGAAAAAAUGUUGUUGAUUUUUUUAUACAAAUGUAAAAAAAAGUUUGCUUAGUUUAGAAGAAAAAAUAUUAUACCAUAAAAAAUAUGAUCAAAUAUGUAUUCCAAAAAAGUUGGACACGUAUUCAAAAAAAAUGUUCAAAGCAUUUAAAAAAAAACUAAUGUGUAUCAAAAAUAGUUGCUGAUGUACACAAAAAUGUACAACAUAUAUGAAAAAAUAGACAUGUAUUGAGAAAAUGGGGAAAUAUUAAACGUAUACGAAAUAGACAUCUAUUGUGGCAGUUCAAGACAAUAAUCGUAGUCGUCAAAAGGUUCUUCCUUUGCGACAGCAAGAACAACUUGGUGGGUAAUUUGUCAAUUCUUAAAGCCAUUCAUUCACCAUCACUUGAUUAAUUUGUAACUCAGCUAAUUAGCCACUAGCUACGACUAACAUCACUUGCAUAGCUUGUGGGGCAUCACUUUGCUUUCAGCACAAGAAAGUACUUAUAGUUAAUAAGUUAUUUGAGCUAAGUAGCAAUCCAAUGUGCGACGUGGAGUUUCUCAGCCCGCGCUCAACUGAGCUCGAAUGAACAGUAAAAGUAAAGUGAGAAAAACUGCGGCAAACCUAUUUAGCGUGACAGGCAUUGCUUAAAGGAAAAAGUUGCUAACCGGCGCCUGCAGGGCUCCGUAAUGGGCGGGCCCAUGUUGAGAUCCUUCAUGAACUUUUUUUAGCCUGUGAAAUGUUUUAGCCCGUGAUCUUUUUUUGAAAUCGGUAAACUUUUUUGAAAAUCAAUGAUAUUUUUUGGAAAUUCAUGAACAUUUCUGAAAAUCAAUGAACAUAAUUUAAAAUUCAUGAUUUUUUUCAAAAUCAGUGAAAUAUUUUUAAAAAUUGAUGAACUUUUUCAAAAUCAGUGAACUGUUCUUAAAAAUUGAUGAACUUUUUUCAAAAUCAAUGAUUGUUUUUUCGAAUCUUUAAACUUUUUGAAAAUCCAUGAAAAUAUUUUUCAAAAAUAGGUGAACAUUUUCAUAAUAAUUGAACUUUUUUGAAAAUCUGAACUUUUUAAAAUUCUGUGAACUUUUCUCAAAUUUUUAGUGACCAAGACAUUUUUUACAUGGGAGGAGUGCUUCAGGCGCCGGUUUCCCUAACUGGCGCUGAAGGCGCCAAAUACGAGGGGACUUCCUAUACCGUACCUUCAGCGUCCUCUAAGCCAAUUGGCGCUCGAUGUACCUUCCUAUACCGUCCUAUUUAAACUUUUUAAAAAUCCAUGAACAUAUUUUUCAAAAAUAGGUGAACUUUUUUCAUAAUAAUUGAACUUUUUUGAAAAUCUGAACUUUCUAAAAUUCUGUGAACUUUUCUCAAAUUUUUAAUGACCAAGACAUUUUUUACAUGGGAGGAGUGCUGCAGGCGCCGGUUUCCCUAACUGGCGCUGAAGGCGCCAAAUAGGAGGGGACUUCCUAUACCGUACCUUCAGCGUCCUCUAAGCCAAUUGGCGCUCGAUGUACCUUCCUAUACCGUCCUCUUUAAACUUUUUGAAAAUCCAUGAAUAUAUUUUUCAAAAAUAGGUGAACUUUUUUCAUAAUAAUUGAACUUUUUUGAAAAUCUGAACUUUCUUAAAUUCUGUGAACUUUUCUCAAAUUUUUAAUGACCAAGACAUUUUUUACAUUGGCUGGCCCAUGAGGAGGAGUGUUGCACGCGCCGGUUUCCCUAACUGGCGCUGAAGGCGCCAAAUAGGAGGGGACUUCCUAUACCAUACCUUCAGCGUCCUCUAAGCCAAUUGGCGCUCGCUGUAUCGAAUUCAUGGGCCGACCAACGACGCGCAACACAAGCGCAAAAGUCCUAAAAAAUGAUGGGGAUUGAUCUGCGACGGCGCGCUGGCCCAAACUUUUGGCCGGCCGCGCGCGAGCGGCAGGAUCCACCAACCCCGCGUCGUCCGCACCAUUGGAUCCGCAUGCAACAUUUUUUUUUCCUAUGCAGCAAAAUUUCGAUUCGAUGCGAUGCAGCAAUUUUUUUAACGGUUGCAACAAAAAACAAAAAUUGUGCCAAAAAAAUAUUUACGUGAUCGUAGCAAAAAAAUAAAGCUGAUGGUACGUGGUAGCAAAAGUCAAACGCCGAUUGUAACAAAUAUUUAUGUGACGUGUAUGCAACUUUUUUAGUGAACAGUUGCAGCAAACAUGAUGCCGGUUGUAGCAAAAAUUAACACGGUUGUAGCAAAAAGUAAAAAACAUCGAUUGUAACGAAAAAUCCAACGAACUGGUGUUGCAACCAAACGUAUAUGCAGCUUUUUUACUGAAACAAAAAAUAGUAAAAAAACGCUUGCAGCAAAAAUGACGCUGGUUGCAACAUAUUUAGACGAAAAAUGUUGCAUCCAUUGACCAGAAAAGCGCGCGGGUGGAAAAAAUGUUGCAAGGACCCGCGCGCGCGAGGGGAUGACCGGCGCGCGGGUGGGAAACGAUUCCCAAGAAUGAUUGGGGCUUUGACUCGAACUCAGGUCCUCUCAUUCCUACAUCUUCUCUGCUAACCACUAGUCCUAGAAGCUAAUAGUAAUCAACUGAACCUCAAAAAUAUUUAAGAAUACUCUAGCCACGUAGUUCCAAAAUCUGAAAGUUCACAUAUUUUUAAAAAGUUCACGAUUGUUUUCUUAAAAAAGCCUCACGUAUUCGAAAAACAAAAUCACGAAAUUGAAAAUUCAUUAAUUUGAGAAUAAAAUUUCACAAAUUUUCAAAAAAAUCUCUAAUUUAAGAAAAGUUUGUAAGUUUGAAAAACGUUAACAGAUUUGAAAAUGUUCACAAGAUCCACAUAAGUUCACCAAAUUGUUAAAAAAAUUCAAGAAUCUUUAAAAAGUUCCAUCAAAUUCGAAAAAAGUUCAUCAAUUUUGAAAAAAGUUCAACGGAUUUCAAAACAAGUUCAUUGAUAUUUUUUUUUUAAGUUCAUCGAAUCUGCAACAGUUUUAUCAAUUUAAAAAAAGUUCAGUGUAUUUUCAAAAAAGUUUAUCAUUUUUUAUAAAUAUUUUGAACAAAAACUUGGAAAAGGUUCAUUGGAUUCGAAAAAGGUUCACCGAAUUUUGAAAAUUUCAUCAAGUUUAAAAAUAGUUCACCAUUUCGUAAAAAGUUCACAAAUUCAAAGGAAAAAAAUCAUCAAUGUUGGAAAAAGUUCAUUGGUUUUUCUAAAAAAAGUUCAUUGUAUUUGAAAAAGUUUGUCAAAUUUGAAAGAAGUUCACUGAACUAGGAAAGAGUUCAUCAAAUUUUAAAAAUUGUGGAUGGAUUAAAAAAUAAACGACUAAGAAAGAAGGAAAAUUAAAAAGAAAAUAAAAACAAAAACAGAAAACAGAUAAAAGGAAAAAUGAAAAAAGAAGAAACAAUGAUAAGGUAAAAAUGACGUAUGUUGACACAUCAAGGAAUGUGGUUACCACUCUUCGCACCGAGCUAGGAGAUCCUGGGUUCGAAUCCUACUCCUUUCCAAUAUUUGAAUGAACAGACAGACGUAAAUGGGCUAACCGGCGCCUGCAGCAUUAAAUAGGAAAUGCCGAAAUGACGAAUAGGAGGUCCCAAAAAACUGUGUGUGCCUGUGCUAGAUUGGGUCAGGCGCAUGUCUGCCUCGCGCACUAGGCUUGGCCCAUCAUCGGUGUGCUUGAGACGAGGAAGUCUUAAGCGAGACAUAGAGGCUCUCACGAAGUAUAGCAUUGUGGACUGGAGUAGAAUAUAGUUCUUUUAAGCUAAGCCUAACCCCCUUUAUGGCCCAAUACAUAUAUAAACACUACACACUCUGUGCCGGCCUACAUGCACUGACCCGAACUUGUACUCGAUCUGGUCAUGGCCCACAAAAUUGGAUCAUUCUACGUUCGAUUCUCCUUUUCUGCUGAAAAAAAUGCAAGACAAUAGAGCAUUUUUUAGGAAGCAAUACCACUAUAUAUGUUGUCAUUGCAACAAUCUAUUAUAUUAAGAGCAUCUACACCCGGACCCCUCAUACAUGUCUCAAACGCCUCGACAGGCCGUCCGACCAGUGAUCGGUCACAAAAACGCGACCCAACCGAACCUCUUAAAUCCGUCUCAAACGCCCGAGCUGACCGGCACUGCUCAUAUCCGGCCCAAAUAUAGGGCUGAUAUGGGGCGGUCCGGUCACACCGGGUGUGUCUGCCCGGUAAGCCCGGUCCAACACUGACCCCACCGUUGUCCCACAAAAUCCCCACUUUGGCCGCCUCGUUCCGAACUCUAGCUCACUCUCUCUCGCUCUGUCCCCUCCUCCCCCUCUUCGAGUAUGAUCCCAUCGUGUCCAAUGUCGAUCUCCGACAGCCGCUCCGGCUCCGACGGUCGCUCCGGCUCCAACGGCUCGGACAUCGACCCCGAGGAGUUGGCCCUCCGCAUCGCCUUGGAGCGCGGUCCAAGGUGGAGACGGCCGGAAGCUCCGGAUCUAGCGCUUAGCCACUGGUCCCGCGUCGACGGAUCUAUGACAUCGAAGCGGGACCCUCCCGGCACGCGAGCAGCUCCGUCGGGACUGCGUCCGCACCUGCCCUGCGUGCUGCCCUUUCCCCGCCGGCCGCUCCUCCACGCGGGCAUCAUUGGGUCCUAGUACCCGCACCAUUGGCCUGCACGGGCACUCCGGAAUCGGAGGCGCGCACCGCCCACCGUGAGAGGCAGCGGGCAAGGGAGAGGGAAACAAAGCAGUCUGUGCGCCACCGUCGCGAGAUGCCGGCUGAGCCCGACAAGGACGAACGCCUCCUCGCAUGGGUGUACCUCGGGUCCCUCACGACGGCAGAGACGAGUGUUCGACACCUUCGUCAGAAGAACGCCAAGGCGUUUCAGCUUGCUAUUGAGCAGUCGGAGCGCGAAGCGAAGGAGCUAGCGGAGGAGAAGGCUCGACUCGCCAAGAUGAAGCGGGAGCAGUACAGGGCCGUCCGUCGGAUGAAUGGCCUCAUCGUCUUCUUGGACUCGGACUCUGACGACGGCAACAACGACACCUCGCCCUUUGACCCUCCGCCAGCCACGAACGGCUACAACUGCGUCGACGACCCACAGGGCAAAGGGCCAGCAAGGAAGUGGUGAUCUGCCCCCCCCCCUCUACGCAUUAUUUAUAUACUCCCUCCGUCCCAAAAUUCUUGUCUUAUUGUCUAAAAAUGGAUGUAUCUAAGUACUAAAACAUAACUAGAUGCAUUCAUAUCUAUACAAAUGUAAGACAAGAAUUUUGGGACGGAGGGAGUAGUUUUUAGUUGUAGUAACGUAAGAAAUUUGUCCGAUGAACUUGAGAUGAUCUUGUGGCUGAUGUUUGAUGUCCGUUUGAAGUUGAUUUUGUGUUUGUGCGUUUUUGAUUUUGUUGUCCUAUGUUUUUUCACGUACAAUAGCUCAACGUUGCGUGGGUAGUACGGAUAUGGGUGUCGGAUAUAAGACAAGCGGAUGUGAAAAGGAAAAUAUGAAACGCGUCUGGCCAGUGUACGAGACGCGACCGUUUGAGGGGUUAGAUUUGCAAGUUACGACUAUAGAUGCUCUAAAUACUAUCUUUCCUGGUUAAAAAGACACUUAAGGCCCCUCCCCACUUCACCUAUGUCUUCGGUUUUGCCGAUUCUUCUCAUUGAUUUUUCUUAAAAGACACCUCAACUGUCUCAUGUAUUUUUAUAGCUUAGCAAAUAAAAUUAUGUUUUCGUUGGUAUGUCUAUAGGUGCUAGUUUAAUUGACAGUCGAUAUAUUAGCAGUUAUGGCGAAGCCACAAGUUCAAAGUUAUGAUCUCAAUUCAUAAUUGUGACCAAAUACGUGUGUUUAUAUGAUUUUUUUUCUUUCUUGAUUUCUACUUAUAUGUGUUGCUUUUGCACAAAUACUGUAUAGUCAACUGACUACACAGAACACAUGUGGAGUCGUCAUUGUGUAAUCACACUUACACACUAUCAAUAAAAUGACGGGUAAAUCAUGAUGAGUGCGUGCAAAAUAUUUAUGCCUCGUUGCAACACCAACCAUUAUCUAAUAGUAGUAGUUAAGAAACAAUAUCCCUGGUCCUCAAAAGGUUCUCCCUUUGCGGCAGCAAGCACAACUUGGUCAGUAACUUGUCAACUCUCAGAGCCAUUCAUGCAUCAUCACCUGAUUAAUUAUUAUUUUUAACGCAAUCACCUGAUUAAUUAAUAACUGGUGAGGGUAUAUCCGUACACAUGCAGCUCAGCUAAUUAGCCACUAGCUGCGGUUGACAUCACUUGCAUAGCUUGUGGGGCAUCACUUUGCUUUCAGCACAAGGAAGUGGUUAAUUAAUCACUUAUUUGAGCUAAGUACCAAUCCAACGUGUGCUUUUGCUUCGUCUUAGGAAGCAGGUUAUGGAGCUGUCUCGUUGAUACCUAGCUACUUGGCACUUGCAGUGGUCAAACACUUGGUAGAAAACAUUUUUUAAUUUUGAGCGUGUUCAUUCUGAUGGAUCGAGAUAGCUUGACCCCUUCAAGUUAUAUGUAAUAAUGCACAUCGAUUGUACAAGCAAAAGGCCGAUUUAAUAUACUCAUGGCAUUAUAUUACUCCGUUGCAUUACGUGAGAGAAUUCUCAAUGAUGAGUGCCAUGCAUGCACAAGGUGAAAAAACAACAAAAACAAUGAAGCGUGCAUGGUUGAUCAAGGUAUCAGUUUACCAUCCCAUUGUUUUUUUUAUCUACCGGUGGUCUACGAAUUCAUAUGUGCUAGUAUUCAGUUGGUAUAACCAUAAUCAGCGAAAAAUUCGAUGGGGCAUCAUGUAUCCGCAGCUUAGUUAUACGCAUACAUACGUAAAAUAUUCAACCCAUGCUACAAAAAAUACUUUUAUCCAUGUGGCAAUCUUGCAUUGCUCCAUAUAUAAUUUCUCAAAUAAAUUGCUAAGAUAUAUUUAAUUAUUAGAUACACGCAUGCCUAUAUGGUUGUUUAAUUACCUUUCACAACAUUUAGUUACUUUUUGUCAAUAACAUUUAACAAAUGUACAACUUGUACUAGUAAGUACGUACAACAAACAAAAUGUAGAUAUAUUGUUACCGCGACGCAUCGCUCAUAGGAGUGGACACGAAAUAGAUAGUGAUAUUGGGCAUUGCUAUUUUCUCCUUAUUGAAUUAAUAUCACAAUUGAUUCGUGUGUACAAAAUAUGAGCAUGACGCCGAGCAGUUGAGUGGCCCCAAUGUGAAUUUAUUUCUAACACCACCUACACCCCAAAUCUAAUGUUGUUAUUCAUGACCAAGUAAUCUUAUUAUUUAUGUGCCUCGUGAGUUUGCUCUUCAUAUUCGGGUUUGCAUUUGUGCAAAUGUGAGCUUCAUUAUCUUCAUGUAUGUAGAUCCGGGUUCCCUCUGCUAUGAUACCAAUUGUAGGAAACCUACUAUGUGAUGGCUUUGAUACCCAUAAUACUUGAGAACCUUCACACUCUCAAAUAAUGGGGAUAACUCGAUCUUUUAUUCACAACCACUAAUAGAAAAACUACUUUACGUGAGAUACAUUAGUCCCUGUUUGUAAACGGACGGGCACUAAUGUGACCAUUAGUGCCGGUUUAAACGGCUAGGGAGGCGCGCAUCAUUAGUCAUGAUUCGUGUUGAACCUCUAGUACCGGUUCGUGACACGAACCGGGACUAAUGGAGUGGUGACAGGCUGGUGUCUGCCUGCUUCAACUCAUGAUACUUGGUACAAACUUUAUUGGUGUCUACCUGCCAUUCUCAUUCAUAGCGGGUCCUACUACUACCUUGGUUCUCUUUCUACCUUGCUUAGUUUGGUUUAUCUUAGGAGGGGAGUCCAUCCCUAUCUAGAGUUGCACAUGACCAUUAGAUUGAUGGCAGGUGGCAACCAUCCAAAACCAAUGCAGUCAUUGCUCUCUGAAUAACCUAGAAAACACCCUACAAAUAUCUUAUAUCUAGUGUUCUCUUUAAUUUGCCACAUAAUUUAUUCAAACAUUUGUUCUAGAACCACCGAGAGAAAUAACAACUCAUGUGUAUUAAUAUCCAAAUGAUCUAGAAGUUUCUUAUCUUUGAGAUGAAUAACUUCUCUAGUAUCCUCCAUGGCAAAUAUCUUGACGUUCUCGAUUCUUAGAAAUAUCUUCAGUGACCCAAGUAUGCAUUGCAUAUUAUCAACAAUAGGAAAUCGAUAGAGUAUCUCAAGAAUGUAAACAACUAUCGGCUAUGGCAUGUCACCGUAUGAGGCCAAAUGGUGUGCAUAUGUCAACAUAGGGAGGAUAUCUAGUGGCCAAGCACUCCCGGUGCUGCCAAUGCACAAAAUCACCAUUCUAUUACUUUCUUUUUUCUUAAAAUGUUAAGUGAGUCAAUAAGAUAUGUUUGUACAAUGUGUGAAAUUUUGAAAUCAAUUCAACCUACAUAUGAUGGAGAAGCAAAAAUAAAUAAAUAAAUAAAUAGAAAUUCAGCCAUGAUGGUGUUUGUAUUUUGAUUUUUUAUAAUAUUCAUAGUUGGAUUUAUCUUUUUCGAGUAAGAUGUUUUUAUCCUCUAUCUACAUACUCCCCCUGUUCCAAAAUAAUUGUCUUAAUCUUGUACUAAUCUUAGUAUAAAAUUAUACUAAUUUUGAGAUACUUAUUUUGUGACGGAGGAAGUGGAAUUUUGUGGUGCCGACCUCUUAGGUGGGACACACACAUGCUUCCAUCGAUGUCCAUGCAUAGGAUGAUGGGAAUAUCAGCAUCUGUCAUUUUUUUUCUAACUGUUUUUACUUCUUCCUUUUUCCAACUAGCUUAGCCUAUCAAUUGCUUGUUCGUGUACAUACUUGUGUGUCUCUCUCGAUAAACUUGUCGUUCCUUGGGUGCGAUGACUUCGCAAGGAAUCCAACCUUUCUACCAGUAAAAAAAAAAAAGACAAGCCAUUGCUCUCCUCUUUAUUUUAAAGUACAUGCACUUCAAUUAUGCACGUCUCUUCCCCCUAACACGAGCAUGCAUUAUAAGUUGCUACUAUUCUAUAAGCUCCAAUUGAUUCAUCCAAAGUCCAAGAUUUGGUUACAAUAAAUAAGGAAAGUAAUUUUAAACUAAUACGAAUUUUAUUCAAUGAAUGUUCACAAUUUACAUCCUAGUUCACCCUACAUAUACAUACAUAUACACACAAGUUAAACAUGCAUCUACAAUCAGUUCUACCUAUCUUGUGACAUAAUUGUGUUCUUCUUCUACUCCGGCCUAUAAUAUCUUACACUAAUCAAUUAACUUUACACAAUAUACGGUACUAAUUUAGCCUGAUCUACAAAUUAUGCAUGAGUAAUAUCCCCCUCGAUCCAUUGAUCGACCGGCAUCAAUAGUGAAUAAUUGAUUAAUAUGUCUGCAGUCAAAUCGCUAGCUAGCUUUCUCCUAGCCCUAAUUAUCAAGGUAGCAUGCAUGGAUCAUAUCCUGUCCUGCUGGGAAGGCUGGUCUGGCCCAAAUAUGGAGAAGCCGCCGUUCAUCAUCGUCAUGGACCCAUCGCUACCCAACCACCUCUUGGAAGCGUGCAACGACGACAUUUCACCAUCGUUAUUGCUGUCCGCCGUCGCCUGCCUCUUCCGCGCCGUGCUGGCCUCGCCGUCGCUGGCCCCAGCAGUGGUGCCGAGGAAGAACUGGCCGACGGAGGUUGCAAUCUCCGGCUGUGGCGGCGGCAUGCUGUCGAAGAGCUCCGAGACGGCUGAGUAGUCCACGAGGUAGUCGGAGAUGGACGGGUUCCUCGGCAGCAUCCGGGAGGAGGAGGAGGUGUCCUCUUGCUGCUGAUGUUGCUGCUGCUGCUGCUGCUGCUGGUGGUGGUGGUGGCCGUGGCCGAGGCCGAGGGUGGCGUCCAUGGACGACGGCGACGGCGACGGCUCGUAGAAGGGCGACAGCUGCUGCGGGUUGGGCUUCUUGUAGAUCCUGCACAGCACCCAAUCAUCCAGCUGCACGCACACAAGAAGGUGAAUCAGUGCCACACACGUGUGUGCAUGUAUGUUGCAACAAACGGUCGCUUGCUAAGCUUGACAGGUAGUUGGUGCUGGUUAGCUAGUAGGUUGUGGCUUGUAAGGUAAUAGUGCAAGUCUCUUUCUUAGGGAAGGAAGAUCCCAGCGGUGAAAGAAACUAUAGCUAAUAGGACGGACAGUGGCUUCCUAGCUCAUUGACCAGGUUAGUUGCUUGCUCGAGCUCAACUCACUGACAUCCACGCACACGCAACUAAUAAGAAGAGAACAAAAGAUUCCUAGCUAGCUCCAACGAGAUGCCUUCCUCGUUAAUUUGCAGCCGCAGAAAACAUGCAUAUGCAUGUGUGAUCAAUCAAGAAGAAAUAAUAAAGCAUGAAAUUACCGAGUACAACAAGAUGAUGGAGAGAGCCAUCGCAAAAAAAGAAAAAAAGAAAGAUGAUGGAGAAAGAGUUGUGCAUGCAUGCGUACCCUCAUGGAGGACGAGGCCUUGAACCGCGUGGGGGGCCGGUAUGUGUGCGCGGCGGCGGCGGCGGCGGCGUGGGCGUCGGCGAGGCGGUACUCGUGCAUGAUCCAGUUCGUCUUGUGCCCCUUGGGCGGACGGCCCUGGUAGAACACGAGCGCCUUCUUGACGCCGACCAUCUCGCCGCCGGGCACGCCGCCGGCCGUGAUGGGCUUGUCGGUGCCGGUGGCCUUCCAGUAGCCCGACCCGGCGGCGCGGUUGGGGCGGACGCCGUUGGGGUACUUGCGGUCGCGGGGGCUGAAGAAGUACCACUCGUCGUUGUCGCCCUCGAACACCGCGCGGGACGGCAGCUCCCACGGGUCCAGCUUGUAGAUGUCCACCUCCGCGAUGACGGCCGCCGGGCACGGCGCCGCGGCCGCGCGCCUGCGGAGGUAGUGCACGAUCAGCUCCUCGUCCGUCGGGUAGAACCGGAACCCCGGCGGCAGCCCCGUGCCCGCCGGCGCCGGGAGCGACGUCGGCCUCGUCUGCAGCUCGAUCGUCAUCACACACACCCGAUCGAACGCUCGGUCAGGGGCUCAAGGCGGCGAGGGAAGGGAAGGGAAGGUGGGUCGAGAGUCGAGACGGAGGAGAACUGAAAUUUUCGGAGGUGGAGGCGACGGGUGCGGUUAUAAAGGCGCCGAGGUGCUCCGGCGCAUGGCAGGCUCUUGUAAUUCUUGGCCGCCGGUGACGAGAGGGAUGAUGAUUGCAAGGGCCCUGCCGUACGUGCGCGUCCAUCCAUAUCACGUCAUCGGCGCUCGCAGGCUCACGUACUUGGCCAGAAUCUUCAAUUUGUUGGAAUAUUUUCUCUCUUUUUUGUGCCAUGUGAGAACGAGAGAGUGGGGGAAA